CCUACGGGAGGCAGCAGUGGGGAAUAUUGCACAAUGGGGGAAACCCUGAUGCAGCGACGCCGUGUGAGUGAAGAAGGAUUUCGGUAUGUAAAGCUCUAUCAGCAGGGAAGAAAAUGACGGUACCUGAUUAAGAAGCCCCGGCUAACUACGUGCCAGCAGCCGCGGUAAUACGUAGGGGGCAAGCGUUAUCCGGAUUUACUGGGUGUAAAGGGAGCGUAGACGGCAGCACAAGUCUGGAGUGAAAUGCCGGGGCUUAACCCCCGAACUGCUUUGGAAACUGUGCAGCUUGAGUGCAGGAGGGGUAGGUGGAAUUCCUAGUGUAGCGGUGAAAUGCGUAGAUAUUAGGAGGAACACCAGUGGCGAAGGCGGCUUACUGGACUGUAACUGACGUUGAGGCUCGAAAGCGUGGGGAGCAAACAGGAUUAGAUACCCCAGUAGUC
rnacentral:rRNA from 1 species